AAUAUUUCACAAGGGGGGAAACCCUGAUGCAGCGACGCCGCGUGAGUGAAGAAGUNUUNNGGUAUNANAAGCUCUAUCAGCGGNNNNNAAAAUGACGGUCCCUGACUAAGAAGCCCGGGCUAACUAAGUGCCAGCAGCCGCGGUAAUAAGUAGGGGGCAAGCGUUAUCCGGAUUUACUGGGUGUAAAGGGAGCGUAUGAGGCGUAUCAAGUCAGAUGUGAAAGCGCGGGGCUCAACUCCGGGAUUGCAUUUGAAACUGGUGCGCUAGAGUGCAGGAGAGGUAAGUGGAAUUCCUAGUGUAGCGGUAAAAUGCGUAGAUAUUAGGAGGAACACCAGUGGCGAAGGCGGCUUACUGGACUGUAACUGACACUGAGGCUCGAAAGCGUGGGGAGCAAACA
rnacentral:rRNA from 1 species